UAGCGUAGGGAGCAAGCCGUUGUCCGGAAUCAUUGGGCGUAAAGCGCGCGUAGGCGGCCUCAUAAGUCCGUUGUGAAAGUCAAAGGCUCAACCUUUGAAAGCCGAUGGAUACUGUGAGGCUAGAGUCCGGAAGAGGCGAGUGGAAUUCCUGGCGUAGCGGUGGAAUGCGCAGAUAUCAGGAGGAACACCAAUAGCGAAGGCAGCUCGCUGGGACGGUACUGACGCUAAGGCGCGAAAGCGUGGGGAGCGAACAGG
rnacentral:rRNA from 1 species